rnacentral:tRNA from 1 species
CCGCGCUUAGCUCAGUUGGCUAGAGCACCUGACUGUAGACUGGAAACACAUUGGUUGUAGGCAGCCAUCAGGGGGUCCCCGGUUCAAGUCCGGGAGCGCGGA